rnacentral:rRNA from 1 species
CCCUUAGAUGUUCUGGGCCGCACGCGCGCUACAAUGAUGAAUUCAACGAGUUUAUAACCUUGGUUGAAAAGCCUGGGUAAUCUUUUGAACUUUCGUCGUGAUGGGGCUAGACCCUUGCAAUUAUUGGUCUCCAACGAGGAAUUCCUAGUAAACGCAAGUCAUCAGCUUGCAUUGAUUACGUCCCUGCCCUUUGUACACACCGCCCGUCGCUCCUACCGAUUGAGCGAUCCGGUGAAUGUUUUGGACUGGUGUCCGCAAGCGUUUCGCUUCGGACGCUACGAAAUUUUGUAAACCUUAUCGCUUAGAGGAAGGAAAAGUCGUAACA